CUCUUACCUCUUGUGCAUUUAUUAACAUCUUUCUUUAUAUCUAUCUACUACCUAUCUAUCUCUGUUUAUCUGUUUAUCCACAUUUUUUUUCGUUCUAUCUAUUCCCUUACCCUUUUCUUUACCCUUCUAUUUCUCUCUCUCUCUAUCUUUCUAACUACUGUCUCUCAGUUCCGGGAAACGAGUACGCCGCGAGAAAGCGAACAUCAAGAAAAGAGAGAAAUAGAGAGAGAGAGAGCAUCAGAGUUAGCGUAAUAAUCCAUACAUUCCGCGUUUGUUCAACGUCAUUUAUUCUGGAAUUUAGUGCAGACAAAUAUUACAGAUAUUCAUAACCUUAAAGUGUUUUAUUUGGUGCUUUCUUACUUGCGACGGUGAGAACAAGAAGUCAGUGGCUCCAACGAAUAAGAAGACAAGAAAUUGUUCAGAUCCGUCGGAGUGAUAUCCAAUCAUAUUUAAAGAUAUCGACGCUACUAUUAUCAACUACGAUUAAAUCUGGACUCCGAUUAUAAGAACAGCAGAAUCCGGAGUCCGAGCGUAAGGGAGGAGCCAGGAACGCGCCGAAUAAAUGACGUAAAUCCGAAGAACGGAAACGCAACGUCAUUCGCUAACUCGCAAUUCUCAUUCCCUCUUCUCUCUCCUCUCCUCACCUCCACCCCUCUCUCUCUCUGUCUCUUUUUCUUUUUAUUUUUCUAUCCAAAUCCCUUCUUCUCUCUAUUCUAUUCCAGUUUCUCACAGGCCUUCGUCCUUCGACCCGACACGGAUCGACCUACGAACCGGACCUUUGCUCUCCCUUCUUCUUCCUCCUCCUCAUCUUCUUCUUCUUCAUCUUCUUCUUUUUAUCCCCACUACUUUGCUUUUUCGCCUUUCACGUGCUUACCGGUUUUUUCUCUUUCCCUCUCUUCUAACACACAUAUAUAUAUAUAUAUAUUUUUGUUUUUUCUUUCUAUUCGAUAUUGAAGUCUCCCUUUUCUAUUAUAAUAAAUUUGAACACAUGUCGUAUAUCACGAUUGACCUCUCUCACUCGCUCGCUCGAUCCUCCUAUCGAGAGCACGUCUCGCGUCUUUAAAGUUAUUUCUUUUCUAAUUGAUUUUUCUCUCUCUCUCUCUCUCUCUCUCUCUUUUUUUCUCUCUUCUUUUUUUUUUUUUAAAAAAAAAAAAAAAAAAAAAAAAACUUUCAAUUCCUCCUGACCGACCUUCCUUUCCAGUAGACUCGACACGAGACACGCGUUGGUUUGAGACCGGCUUGAAGGACACCACCAGCGGCUUUUUGAGACACGUAUUACAUACAAUACAUGCUACUACUACUACUACUACUACAUCAUCAACAAAAGCAGCAGAAGUAGAAGUAAAAGCAGAAGAAGCAGCAGAAACAACAGCAGCAGUAGAAGUAUUACCAAUAGUAGUCUGUAUAAAAAGCAACGUUUGCGGCUACAAAACACCAAUAACAACAACAAGAACAAGAACACAAUCAUCGUCAUCGUCCCUGUUAUCUUUGUCGAGACGUUUAGAGAAGAGUUUCGAAGGCUUCCAAAAAAAGCUUUGCUCGCACGAAAGAAGAAGAGUUACGGAGUCGAGAGUAGAGAAGGAGGGUUUAAGGAAAGGAAAAGGAGAGAAAGAUUUGCGGAGUUGUGUUUUAUUCGCUGAAUUUUCGAGAGAGAGAGGAAAAGGUCUUUUUUUUUUUAAAUUAAUCGAGUGAUCAGCUAUAGCUCUAUCCUCCUUUCUUCAUCUUUGUCUUCUUCUAUUACUACUACUACUAUUUCUUCUAUUUCUUCGGACACAAGUCGAGAUCUUCCGUGAAUAUCAACUGCAUCGAACAACAACAACAACAACAAGAGUAAAAGUUAAUUGCAGUUGCACGUAAAAGUAGUAGUUAUACAAUAAAAAAAAAAAUAAAACAGUGAAGACACGCGCACGCACACGUGUCCCUGGCGCUUCCUAUAAAUUAUAUAUAAUAAUCAGAAGCGAUUAAGAAAGAAAUUUCAUUUAAAAGAGAUUAACAGUAACGUGAACAACGAUACAGUUACUACGCGAAAAAAAUUAUACGAAAACGAAGAAGUUGUUGUCCGAUAAUUGGACGAAAGAAAGCUUUAUCUUUCUCUCUCUCUCUCUCUUUCUCUCUCUCUCUCUCUCUCUCCCUCUUUCUCUCUCUCUCUCUCUCUUUCUCUCUUUCUCUCUCCUCUCUCUUUCUCUCUUUCACUCCACCUUACUUCUCGCGUUGAACGUAUUACACCCAAUUAUCAUAAAGUUCUCGGCCUAGUGUCUCUCUUUGACCGCAACGAAAAUCUUUUUUAAGCAGCAAACAGCUUUAAAAGCAUAAAGCAAAAGCCAGAAGCAGUAGCCGCUAAUAAAACGUUAACGCAACAGUCCCAGUUAGGUACUGUUUAUUACGACUGAUUAAUUAACAAUCCACACCUGAUCGUCGAUAAAAAGGAGAGCUAAGAAAAAGAAGAAAAAAAAAGAAGAGGGGACGGACGAUCCUCCAACAAUAUUGUCCUUCGUGUUUGUUAACGCGAAUAAAAUUUAUUUCUGUUCCUUCGUGGAUUUAUAAUAUUUCGCGAUUAUAUAAGAAAAAAAAAAAAAAUUCAAAUUGAAAUCAUAAUACACAUAUAAACGCGUCCAGAUAUACACGAGUGAAUCACACAUUUGUGGUUGGAUUAUUAAAAUAAUACAAGGAAGAUACGAAAAGAGAGAGAAGGCCGAAAGAUCCAAAGUUUUUCGUUCGUCGAUAAUUCCUACGAGGAGAGAUAGAAAGAAAAGAAAAGAAAGAAAGAAAAUAAAUAAGAAAAGAGGAAAAAAAAGAGGGGUGUUCAUCAAUCCUAUCGAUAAUAGAUCGGUCCUACGCGAGUGAAAGCUAAGAAGAAAAGGAAGGAAGGAAUCAACAUUAACAACAACAACCAAUUGAGACGUCUACUACUACUUGUUCUUCGUUGAUCUAGCCAAGAAUUACUACUACUACUACUACUAUUAGUUCUUCUUAUUCUUAUUCGUCUUCUCUUUCUCGUUCGAAACAACGAGAGACAGAUAAAGAAAAAAACAGAGAGAAAGAGAAAGAAAGAAAUAGAUAGAUAGAAAAGUGCAUUAAAAAGAAAGAAGGAUAGUUAAAA